GAUGAACGCUGGCGGCGUGCUUAACACAUGCAAGUCGAACGGUGAAGGCGGAGCUUGCUCUGCUGGAUCAGUGGCGAACGGGUGAGUAACACGUGAGCAAUCUGCCCCUGACUCUGGGAUAAGCGCUGGAAACGGCGUCUAAUACUGGAUACGAGCUGCGAAGGCAUCUUCAGCAGCUGGAAGGAAUUUCGGUCAGGGAUGAGCUCGCGGCCUAUCAGCUUGUUGGUGAGGUAAUGGCUCACCAAGGCGUCGACGGGUAGCCGGCCUGAGAGGGUGACCGGCCACACUGGGACUGAGACACGGCCCAGACUCCUACGGGAGGCAGCAGUGGGGAAUAUUGCACAAUGGGCGAAAGCCUGAUGCAGCAACGCCGCGUGAGGGACGACGGCCUUCGGGUUGUAAACCUCUUUUAGCAGGGAAGAAGCGAAAGUGACGGUACCUGCAGAAAAAGCGCCGGCUAACUACGUG
rnacentral:rRNA from 1 species